rnacentral:rRNA from 1 species
GAUGAACGCUGGCGGCGUGCCUAAUACAUGCAAGUCGAGCGAACAGACGAGAGUGCUUGCACUCUCUGACGUUAGCGGCGGACGGGUGAGUAACACGUGGGUAACCUACCUAUAAGACUGGGAUAACUUCGGGAAACCGGAGCUAAUACCGGAUAAUAUUUAGCUUCGCAUGAAGCAAUAGUGAAAGACGGUUCUGCUGUCACUUAUAGAUGGACCCGCGGUGUAUUAGCUAGUUGGUGAGGUAACGGCUCACCAAGGCAACGAUACAUAGCCGACCUGAGAGGGUGAUCGGCCACACUGGGACUGAGACACGGGCCAGACUCCUACGGGAGGCAGCAGUAGGGAAUCUUCCGCAAUGGACGAAAGUCUGACGGAGCAAUGCCGCGUGAGUGAAGAAGGUUUUCGGAUCGUAAAACUCUGUUGUAAGGGAAGAACAAGUACGUUAGUAACUGAACGUACCUUGACGGUACCUUACCAGAAAGCCACGGCUAACUACGUG